rnacentral:rRNA from 1 species
AACAAACGCUGGCGGCGUGCCUAAUACAUGCAAGUCGAACGGGGUAGCAAUACCUAGUGGCGCACGGGUGAGGAACGCGUGGAUAAUCUGCCUUAGAGUGGGGGAUAACUAGUCGAAAGAUUAGCUAAUACCGCAUAAGACCACAGGAGCUGCGGCGCUAGGGGUCAAAGGUUUUUCGCUCUAAGAUGAGUCCGCGUAAGAUUAGCUAGUUGGUGAGGUAACGGCUCACCAAGGCGACGAUCCUUAACUGGUCUGAGAGGAUGAUCAGUCACACUGGAACUGAGACACGGUCCAGACUCCUACGGGAGGCAGCAGUAGGGAAUAUUGCACAAUGGAGGAAACUCUGAUGCAGCGACGCCGCGUGAGUGAUGAAGGCCUUCGGGUCGUAAAGCUCUGUCGCAGGGGAAUAACACAAUGAAUGUACCCUGUAAGAAAGGAUCGGCUAACUUCGUGCCAGCCGCCGCUGUAACAC